UGGCCGCGGUAUUUGACCGUGCGAGGUAGCAUAAUCAUUAGUCUGUUAAUGUAGUCUGGAAUGAAGGGUUUGACGGGGAGUAGCUUUCUUAUUUUUAUUCUUGAAUUUGAAUUAUUAGUAAAAAUGCUAAUAUAUUUUAGGGGGACGAGAAGACCCUAUAGAGCUUUAUAUUUUAAUGCUUUUUAGUAGUGAAGUUUAGCAUAUUAUAUUUUGUUGGGGCGACAACAGGUAUGAAACAUCUGUGUUAUUUGUCUUUUUAGUAGGUUUUAUGAUCCAUUAAUAAUGAUAAAAGACUAAGUUACCUUAGGGAUAACAGCGUAAUUUUGUUUUAGAGUUCAUAUCGAUAACAAAGGUUGCGACCUCGAUGUUGGAUUAGAAUUCCUUUUUUAUGGCGCAGGAGUUUUUAAAGGUAGUCUGUUCGACUAUUUAAUUUCUACA
rnacentral:rRNA from 1 species